GGUUCUGAAAACCCACUCUUGUGCCGUCAUUCAUUGAACUCAACUCUCCCUAAUAAAACAAUAUUGAAUUGUCCACUAUCUCACGAGACAUCAUUUCUUUUUCAUUUUUUUUCUCUCUCCCACUAUCUCAUGUCUCUCUCCCUCUCUCUCUCUACCCACAGUCCACUCAACCCUCCCUCACUAUUUCUGAAAUACAUCUCUUCAUCUCUCGACAUUUUCCUUCUCUUUCUAAGCCGAGAGCUCAACCUUUAAUCCCUUCUCAAUUCCUUCGCGAAUCGAACCCCAAAACCAUAUAUUGAACAUAUUUGUGACUCAAGGAACAUGAAUAUGUGUUUGCAUGCAUCAUAGGGUCAUCGUGGAGUGAUCCACCAUUGAAACCGAGAGCUUCAUAACUCUCAAACUUGAACCCAGUUUUCGACGAGUGUGAAUGGACCAACUCUGGCUAGUUCGUACUGUGGGUGCGCGGACCCGUUUGAAAUCGAACCCAGGUAAUUAAUAACCUUGUUGCAUUGGGUUUUUGGUUAAAGAUCAUUGAGUUUGACCUGCAUGCGUGCUGUCGGUGAAUUUUUCCAAAAUCCGGCGAGAAACUCCACGCUUGCAGGCCAUUUUCCGGCCAAAUGCGAUCACGGACGGGAACCCCAUUGGUAUGACCACUAUCGGGUACUACAACUUUCUUAGCUUGAAAGGAUGUGACAUCGCAGGUACCUAUGAGUGGGUCUUUUCGUUUUUACAUAUAUAUAUAUAUACAUGUAUGUAUAUAUGUUAUUUUCCCAAUAACUGUUUUUGUAUAUUAUGAUGUGAUAUCUUAUGUUUAGCCUUACAAAUAGGUUUUUCGUACACUUUAUGUUUUUAAUAUUAUUUAUGAGCAUAAACUUAUGGGAUGAUAUCCUUGCGUGUUAUCUGCUCAUUAUUACAUGUUUGCACGGUGUCUCUUAGUUAUUUGUACUGUCAUGGGCUAAGGAUCAACUUCACAUGUAGUUUACAUGCACCGUUUACAUUUGCUUUGUAUUCAGUAUGUGCUUAUGUGCUAGCCUGUCUUUUUGUGUGAUGUUUUGGACUUGUAUGUGAUGCGAUUAGCGUAGCUCACGUGAUGUAGUACUAGAAUGUAAAACAUACAUCCAUCCUCUUUCAUUAUUUGAAUAUAUUUGCAGUGGACUUGUGUGCCAAUAUAAAUUAAUGAGUAUUGAUUUCUUAUAAUAACGAAUUAAGAUUUGAUGUUGAGAUACCUUGUGGUUGUGCCUACUUCCUUUAGCUCACUUGUGUUGCAGGGUACCUAUUACAUACUAUUAUUAUAAUAUUUUUGGGAAACCAUAUAUUUGAUUUACAGCAAAGGUUACACCUCUCGAAAAUGUUUUACAAAACUUUAUUUUCUAGCCCACCCACCCUUUUUUUUCUCCCCUUAAGAAUUUUAGUGCUAGAAGUUUCGUGACGACAAUGAUUGUUGGUAAAAGCUGUUACGUAGGAGACUUCUCCUUUCGGUAUAAAUGCCCAUACUCUU